rnacentral:tmRNA from 2 species
GGGGCCGACCUGGUUUCGACGUGGGUGCGGAUCCGGAGUGGGGCAUGCCGAGCACCAGUUCGCUCGUAAAACCACUGGAAACAAAGUAACUGCAAACGACUCUACGUUCGCACUCGCUGCUUAAUUGCAGAUGAGCUUCUCAACGGUUGGCCUAUGGGCCGGGCCGCGAAUCGCAAGGUUCAAGGCUGAGAAGUCAUUCACAUAGGCUGGUUUCGUGGCGGGUCACUCGUCACGGAACAAGAUUUAGUGACUGGCGGGAAAGGUAGCGUGCCGCUGCGCGACCUGAACGCGAGAUUCAAAUCAGACGGCUACGCAUGUAGAACUGCCUGGUGAUGGCUGACGGACGGGGGUUCAAUUCCCCCCGGCUCCACCA